rnacentral:rRNA from 1 species
GACGGAAGGUGCAAGCGUUGCUCGGAAUCACUGGGCGUAAAGGGUGCGUAGGCGGCCGUGCAAGUCUGGCGUGAAAGCCCCGGGCUCAGCCCGGGAAGUGCGCUCGAAACUGCGCGGCUCGAGUGCCGGAGGGGAGAGUGGAAUUCCUGGUGUAGCGGUGAAAUGCGUAGAUAUCGGAAGGAACAUCAGUGGCGAAAGCGACUUCCUGGACCAGUACCGACGUUCAGGCACGAAAGCGUGGGGAGCAAACAGG